ACCGCUUUUAUUUGCAAAUGUACUUUCUCAUCACUCAAAACAAAAACAAAGUGGUGAGGAUAUGAAUACCUGUCUCCUAGGCUUGUGGUAGGGGUUAGAAUGAGACCAGUUGUGAAGCAGGGCCUGGCACAGACUAGGUGCUCAAUGCAAUACAGCAAUAAUACAUUACAUGUAAGACAAUAUUACAUUACAAAUAAUACACUAUUAUUUACUCUUUUCUGAGCCCCAAUUCUCCUGCCAACUUGAGAAUCUGGGCUCUCUUUCAGCAUCUGUUUAAGAAAUCCGUUCCUCCCACGUGUGUGGUUCCCGCUCCCUGCCGCAGACAGCAGCCAUCACUGGGUGGAGCAGGGCAGAGGCUCCCCCGCCCAUUACUCAGGGUUUCCAAGGCCUCGGCAAGGACUCCCUCCUCCUCCUCCUCCUCCUCCUCCUCUCCAGGCCGCUCCCAGCUCCUGAGGGACAGGAAGUGUGUGUGUUUGGAAAGGGAGGGAGUCUUCCCCCAGUGGUUGUGCCCACAGUCAGCAUCCCAGAGCCAGGCCCUGGGGCUCUCUGCUGUCCAUACUGGGCACCAGCACCAGCCGCCUUCUCUUCCUCGCCCUAGGGGGGUUCUUGAUGGAAAGGCAGUCAGGCAAGGUUGGCACUCUCCUGCUCAGCCCCAGGCCCAGUAUUCCCUCUGGUGUUCCUGCUACCCAUCCCUUGCUCAGGCCUCUCCCAUGGUCAGAGCAGCGGUGGACAGAGCAGGCCUCGGGCCUGUGCCGGGUCAUUUGGAAGACGCUCCUCACUUGAUCACCUCUCUCUUUUAGCCGACAAGGAGAUCUUGCUUCACAGUGACCCGUAAAGGGAGCUGAUGUUUACAGUCCAACUUAGAAUUACACAGGAAAAGUCACCAGAGACCGUCUAGUCGGACUCCUCAAAGCACAUGAAGAGGCUCAGAGAUGGGGUCACUUGCCCAGGGUCUCGCAGUUGGUCCCAGCAGGACUGGAACUGGGAUUCAGACCUGGCUUUCACUACACCACCCAAGGAGAAGCAGCCAGUCGAGCAAGCAACCAACAUUUACUUGGCAUGGACUAUGGGCCCUGCCCGAGGCCAUUUGAGAGAACAAGCAGGCUAUGCCAGACUGGGUGGGACACAGGCUGGCUCGGACCCUUUCCUGCUCCGGCCGGUGCUGCAGGCACAGGAAGGGUAUCUGGAGGGGACGGUGUGUGCAGAAUUGGGGAUGGCAGGACUCAUAGGCAGGGACUUGGAAAUGCGCACCUGGGGGCCACCGGGAAUCCCAGUCCAGUUCCAGCACGGCUCCUGUGCCUAGUGAGACAAUCUUACAGAGGUCGGAGCGAUCUGCCUGCUUUCUCUGCUGGGAACUCACAAAACAAAGCACGGGGUGGCAUUUGCGGUUGACGAGACUUGUGUUGGGUGGAAGACAGAACUUUCUGACUCUGAGGCGUGGGCACAGGUGACCAGAGAAGCCUGGCAUCCCCGUGGUUGGUGGCAUUUCUUCCUUCCUUCGAAGCCAGGUGGGAAGAGCUUGGAGUCUGGAGCCUGACUGCCUGGCUUUGAAUUACUUGCAAGCUGGAUUCCUUGGGUGAGUCACUUAACCUCUCUGGGACUCAGUUUCUGCCUCUAAAAUGGGAAUAAAGAUAGCCCUUAGCACUCAGUGCCUGGCGUAGAGUAAGUGCUAUGUAAGCAUUAGUCACGACUUUCAGUAAACACGUCUUAUGCCCCCGAAUGGGCCAGGCCCAAGCCCCAGCCCUAGGAAACAGAGUUGAACAGCACACGGUCUGCUGCCAGGAUGAGCU